rnacentral:rRNA from 1 species
AGGACGAACGCUUGCGGCGUGCCUAAGAAAUGCAAGUCGAACGGGCAUCUCUUUCGAGCGGUGCCAGUGGCGAACGGUCGCGUAACACGUAGGCAACCUGCCUCAAAGUGGGGGAUAACAGAUCGAAAGGUCUGCUAAUACCGCAUGUGGUCACCUUCUCGCAUGGGGAGGUGUCUAAAGCUUAAUGUGCUUUGAGAUGGGCUUGCGGCCUAUCAGCUUGUUGGUGGGGUAACGGCCUACCAAGGCGACGACGGGUAGC